AGUGAACGCUGGCGGUAGGCCUAACACAUGCAAGUCGAACGGCAGCACAGGAGAGCUUGCUCUCUGGGUGGCGAGUGGCGGACGGGUGAGGAAUACAUCGGAAUCUACUCUGUCGUGGGGGAUAACGUAGGGAAACUUACGCUAAUACCGCAUACGACCUACGGGUGAAAGCAGGGGAUCUUCGGACCUUGCGCGAUUGAAUGAGCCGAUGUCGGAUUAGCUAGUCGGCGGGGUAAAGGCGCACCAAGGCGACGACCCGUAGCAGGUCUGAGAGGAUGAUCAGCCUCACUGGAACUGAGACACGGUGCAGACUCCUACGGGAGGCAGCAGUGGGGAAUAUUGGACAAUGGGCGCAAGCCUGAUCCAGCCAUACCGCGUGGGUGAAGAAGGCCUUCGGGUUGUAAAGCCCUUUUGUUGGGAAAGAAAUCCAGCUGGCUAAUACCCGGUUGGGAUGACGGUACCCAAAGAAUAAGCACCGGCUAACUUCGUGCCAGCCGCCGCCGUAA
rnacentral:rRNA from 1 species